rnacentral:rRNA from 1 species
UGGGGAAUAUUGCACAAUGGGCGCAAGCCUGAUGCAGCCAUGCCGCGUGUAUGAAGAAGGCCUUCGGGUUGUAAAGUACUUUCAGCGGGGAGGAAGGGAGUAAAGUUAAUACCUUUGCUCAUUGACGUUACCCGCAGAAGAAGCACCGGCUAACUCCGUGCCAGCAGCCGCGGUAAUACGGAGGGUGCAAGCGUUAAUCGGAAUUACUGGGCGUAAAGCGCACGCAGGCGGUCUGUCAAGUCGGAUGUGAACUCCCCGGGCUCAACCUGGGAACUGCAUUCGAAACUGGCAGGCUAGAGUCUUGUAGAGGGGGGUAGAAUUCCAGGUGUAGCGGUGAAAUGCGUAGAGAUCUGGAGGAAUACCGGUGGCGAAGGCGGCCCCCUGGACAAAGACUGACGCUCAGGUGCGAAAGCGUGGGGAGCAAACAGG